CACGUAGGGCGCAAGCGUUGUCCGGAAUUAUUGGGCGUAAAGAGCUCGUAGGCGGUCUGUUGCGUCCGCUGUGAAAACCCGGGGCUUAACCCCUGGCUUGCAGUGGAUACGGACAGACUAGAGGUAGGUAGGGGAGAAUGGAAUUCCCGGUGUAGCGGUGAAAUGCGCAGAUAUCGGGAGGAACACCGGUGGCGAAAGCGGCGACCUGGGACGAUACUGACGCUGAGGUGCGAAAGCGUGGGGAGCAAACAGG
rnacentral:rRNA from 1 species